rnacentral:rRNA from 1 species
GUGCCAGCCGCCGCGGUAAUACCGGCAGCCCGAGUGAUGACCGAUCUUAUUGGGCCUAAAGCGUCCGUAGCUGGCUGCGCAAGUCCGUCGGGAAAUCCACUCGCUCAACGAGUGGCCGUCCGGUGGAAACUCCACACCUUGGGACCGGAAGGCUCGAAGGGUACGGCCGGGGUAGGAGUGAAAUCCUGUAAUCCCGUCCGGACCACCGAUGGCGAAAGCGCCUCGGGAAGACGGACCCGACAGUGAGGGACGAAAGCUGGGAUCUCGAACCGGAUUAGAAACCCCUGUAGUCC